UCAGACACGUUUGUUCUCUGGAAACCACCGUAGCUCAUCCACUCAGCCAUACGCAGCAUGCCCAGGAUGCAAAGCUUAUCAGCCACGUCCCAACCAAACUCCUACACGCCAUCUUCUUCCUAGGCCGACGGCCUUAGCCUCCACGCCGGCUGUCCUUGCUCUGGUUUCUCCCCGGCUCCAGCUCGCCAGCCGCGCCCUCCCUGCUCGCCCAGCCAUCUCCUCGCCUCCAUGGCCGCUGCACCAGCCGAGUCCCUCCCCAUGUCAGCUGCAAGCACGCCGUGCUUCCUUCCCAUGGCCGUCUGCAGCUUCUCCCAUGGUGAGCUCCCUCCAGUGCCCUAGGUUUCCAUGGCCGCCCCUCCCUCAUCUUCCUCCCCAAGCUGAGCUCGCCCAGCCCCUCUCUGCUCCCUGGUUUCUCCCCACGCCAGCAGCCAUGGCACCUCCUUCCCCUGCUCGCCCUCCCUCUGUGCCCAGCCUCCUCUCUGUUCUUCCGUGGAGCAGUAGCCCUCCUCUAAUUCUGCAGCAGCAGCUUCCCCUUUUUCUUUUGUUCUCCAUGAAUGAAAGCCCAAGCGCCAGCCCCCUCCCUUUUGUCAAGUGAGAGUUCUAGGGAAAAUCAAUGGAGAAGAAACCGUGUUUCAGUUCGACGCGCUCUAGGUGUUUGAUGGAAUGGAUGAACCGAAGAUCCUUGUUGCUCUUGCGAAAUCUGAGUCUAUUUAGUGUUGGUACGCUAGCUGAAAAUCGUGCGAAGCGAAGGGUGUGGAUCAAAACAACCCACAAGACGAUGUCGGCCAAUGAGCCUGAAGAUGGAUGGACUAAGCGGAUGUCAAAACGAAAGUUGAUCGUCAAGUGGCCUUCAUCUAACAACACUAACAUAGUGUUUAUUUCAG